UGAAUAAUGUAUUUUCAGUGUAACAAA
rnacentral:piRNA from 1 species